AUUGAACGCUGGCGGCAUGCUUUACACAUGCAAGUCGAACGGUAACAGGGAGCUUGCUCCGCUGACGAGUGGCGAACGGGUGAGUAACGCAUCGGAACGUACCCAGUCGUGGGGGAUAACGUAGCGAGAGUUACGCUAAUACCGCAUACGUCCUGAGGGAGAAAGCGGGGGACCGUAAGGCCUCGCGCGAUUGGAGCGGCCGAUGUCGGAUUAGCUAGUUGGUAGGGUAAAGGCCUACCAACGGCGACGAUCCGUAGCGGGUCUGAGAGGAUGAUCCGCCACACUGGGACUGAGACACGGCCCAGACUCCUACGGGAGGCAGCAGUGGGGAAUAUUGCACAAUGGGCGAAAGCCUGAUGCAGCAAUGCCGCGUGUGUGAAGAAGGCCUGCGGGUUGUAAAGCACUUUCGGCCGGGAAGAAAUCGCACAGGUUAAUACCCUGUGUGGAUGACGGUACCGGAAUAAGAAGCACCGGCUAACUACGUGCCAGCAGCCG
rnacentral:rRNA from 1 species